UAUAUAUUGAUGUUCAGGGUAGGAGGGAGAUUCAGCUUUGCUGAGUCACUGAUGAGACACCUCCCUUCUUUAUAUGCAAGUCUAACUCCAUAAGCAUGGAGAACAAUGUCUGCUGGGCAGUUUAACUGGGGCGGUUCCCUGAGAAAGAGUAACUCAGGGGUACAAAGGUCACCUUGUUUCGGAUGGAAAUCGAAAUUAAAGCAUAAAGGUAUAUGGUGGCUUGACUGCGAGAGAUACAACUCGAGCAGGUGCGAAAGCAGGUCUUAGUGAUCCUCAGGUACCGCAUGGAAGGGCCUGAGCUUAACGGAUAAAAGGUACUCCGGGGAUAACAGAGUAAUAGCACCCAAUAGUUCGUAUUGCCGGUGCUGUUUGCUACCUCGAUGUCGGCUUGUCACAUCCUGGCGCUGGAGUCGGUGCCAAGGGUUGGACUGUUCGUCCAUUAAAGUGGCGCAUUAGCUGGGUUAAGAACGUCGUAAGACAGUUCGGUCUAUAUCUACAGCGGGCGUGGGCAGUUGAGGGAUACUUUCCCUAGUACGAGAGGACCGGGAUGGGUGAACCUCUGGUGUACCAGUUGUCGUACCAACGGCAUGGCUGGGUAGCUAUGUGCGGACGGGAUAAGCGCUGAAAGCAUAUUAAGCGCGAAGCCUCCCUCAAGAUUAGAUUUCCCUAUGACCUCCCUGAAAGACGAUCAGGUUGAUAGGCGCAAGGUGAAAGUGUAGUAAUAUAUUGAGCCGAAGCGUACUAAUAGAGGCAUUGACUUCUUGCA
rnacentral:rRNA from 1 species